rnacentral:rRNA from 1 species
GAUAAACGCUGGCGGCGUGCCUAAUACAUGCAAGUCGAGCGAACGGACGAGAAGCUUGCUUCUCUGAUGUUAGCGGCGGACGGGUGAGUAACACGUGGAUAACCUACCUAUAAGACUGGGAUAACUUCGGGAAACCGGAGCUAAUACCGGAUAAUAUUUUGAACCGCAUGGUUCAAAAGUGAAAGACGGUCUUGCUGUCACUUAUAGGUGGAUCCGCGCUGCAUUAGCUAGUUGGUAAGGUAACGGCUUACCAAGGCAACGAUGCAUAGCCGACCUGAGAGGGUGAUCGGCCACACUGGAACUGAGACACGGUCCAGACUCCUACGGGAGGCAGCAGUAGGGAAUCUUCCGCAAUGGGCGAAAGCCUGACGGAGCAACGCCGCGUGAGUGAUGAAGGUCUUCGGAUCGUAAAACUCUGUUAUUAGGGAAGAACAUAUGUGUAAGUAACUGUGCACAUCUUGACGGUACCUAAUCAGAAAGCCACGGCUAACUACGUGCCAGCAGCCGCGGUAAUACGUAGGUGGCAAGCGUUAUCCGGAAUUAUUGGGCGUAAAGCGCGCGUAGGCGGUUUUUUAAGUCUGAUGUGAAAGCCCACGGCUCAACCGUGGAGGGUCAUUGGAAACUGGAAAACUUGAGUGCAGAAGAGGAAAGUGGAAUUCCAUGUGUAGCGGUGAAAUGCGCAGAGAUAUGGAGGAACACCAGUGGCGAAGGCGACUUUCUGGUCUGUAACUGACGCUGAUGUGCGAAAGCGUGGGGAUCAAACAGGAUUAGAUACCCUGGUAGUCCACGCCGUAAACGAUGAGUGCUAAGUGUUAGGGGGUUUCCGCCCCUUAGUGCUGCAGCUAACGCAUUAAGCACUCCGCCUGGGGAGUACGACCGCAAGGUUGAAACUCAAAGGAAUUGACGGGGACCCGCACAAGCGGUGGAGCAUGUGGUUUAAUUCGAAGCAACGCGAAGAACCUUACCAAAUCUUGACAUCCUUUGACAACUCUAGAGAUAGAGCCUUCCCCUUCGGGGGACAAAGUGACAGGUGGUGCAUGGUUGUCGUCAGCUCGUGUCGUGAGAUGUUGGGUUAAGUCCCGCAACGAGCGCAACCCUUAAGCUUAGUUGCCAUCAUUAAGUUGGGCACUCUAAGUUGACUGCCGGUGACAAACCGGAGGAAGGUGGGGAUGACGUCAAAUCAUCAUGCCCCUUAUGAUUUGGGCUACACACGUGCUACAAUGGACAAUACAAAGGGCAGCGAAACCGCGAGGUCAAGCAAAUCCCAUAAAGUUGUUCUCAGUUCGGAUUGUAGUCUGCAACUCGACUACAUGAAGCUGGAAUCGCUAGUAAUCGUAGAUCAGCAUGCUACGGUGAAUACGUUCCCGGGUCU